CUGAGUAACGCUGGGAACAUGCCCCAAAGUGAGGGAUAACGCACCGAAAGGUGUGCUAAUACCGCAUAUGGUCUUCGGAUUAAAGGAUUUAUCCGCUUUGGGAGUGGCCCGCGUACGAUUAGAUUGUUGGUGAGGUUAACGGCUCACCAAGUCGACGAUCGUUAACUGGUCUGAGAGGAUGAUCAGUCAGACUGGAACUGAGACACGGUCCAGACUCCUACGGGAGGCAGCAGUAAGGAAUCUUCCACAAUGGGCGAAAGCCUGAUGGAGCAACGCCGCGUGCAGGAUGAAGGCCCUCGGGUCGUAAACUGCUUUAUGAGUGAAGAAUAUGACGGUAACUCAUGAAUAAGCACCGGCUAACUACGUG
rnacentral:rRNA from 1 species